CUCGGGUCCCAUUUCGUUGGUUUGUUGCGGGCCAGAGUAAUGAUUAACAGGGACGGUCGGGGGCAUUUGUAUUGCCGGGCUAGAGGUGAAAUUCUUGGAUUCCGGCAAGACAAACUACUGCGAAAGCAUUUGCCAAGGACGUGCCCAUUGAUCAAGAACGAAAGUUAGGGGAGCAAAAACGAUUAGAUACCGUUGUAGUCUUAACCAUAAACUAUGCCGACUCAGGAUCGGCCCGCGUUCUACUUUUAGGAUGACCGGGCCGGCACUGUGUGAGAAAUCAAAGUUUUUGGGUUCUGGGGGGAGUAUGGUCGCAAGGCUGAAACUUAAAGGAAUUGACGGAAGGGCACCACCAGGAGUGGAGCCUGCGGCUUAAUUUGACUCAACACGGGGAAACUCACCAGGUCCAGA
rnacentral:rRNA from 1 species